rnacentral:rRNA from 1 species
AGCAGCCACGGUAAUACGUAGGUGGCAAGCGUUGUCCGGAAUUAUUGGGCGUAAAGGGCUCGCAGGCGGUUUCUUAAGUCUGAUGUGAAAGCCCCCGGCUCAACCGGGGAGGAUCAUUGGAAACUGGGAAACUUGAGUGCAGAAGAGGAGAGUGGAAUUCCACGUGUAGCGGUGAAAUGCGUAGAGAUGUGGAGGAACACCAGUGGCGAAGGCGACUCUCUGGUCUGUAACUGACGCUGAGGAGCGAAAGCGUGGGGAGCGAACAGGAUUAGAUACCCGCGUAGUCCCUGUCUCUUAUACC